ACUUGCCUCUUUAAGUAAUUGUGCAGUAAAUAGGUAAAAAAAAAAUACUAAUUAUCCACAGAAACACAGCAUAAAUGUAUAGUUGAGAAGUAAAUAAAAAAA